AGCGAACGCUGGCGGCAGGCUUAACACAUGCAAGUCGAACGCAUCCUUCGGGGUGAGUGGCAGACGGGUGAGUAACACGUGGGAACGUACCCUUCGAUCUGGGAUAACUUCGGGAAACUGGAGCUAAUACCGGAUACGCCCUUUUGGGGAAAGGUUUACUGUCGAAGGAUCGGCCCGCGUCUGAUUAGCUAGUUGGUGGGGUAACGGCCUACCAAGGCGACGAUCAGUAGCUGGUCUGAGAGGAAGAUCAGCCACACUGGGACUGAGACACGGCCCAGACUCCUACGGGAGGCAGCAGUGGGGAAUAUUGGACAAUGGGCGCAAGCCUGAUCCAGCCAUGCCGCGUGAGUGAUGAAGGCCUUAGGGUUGUAAAGCUCUUUUGUCCGGGACGAUAAUGACGGUACUGGAAGAAUAAGCCCCGGCUAACUUCGUG
rnacentral:rRNA from 1 species